rnacentral:rRNA from 1 species
AGAUUGAACGCUGGCGGCAUGCCUAACACAUGCAAGUCGAACGGCAGCGCGGGUAGCAAUACCUGGCGGCGAGUGGCGGACGGGUGAGGAAUACAUAGGAAUCUACCCUGUCGUGGGGGAUAACGUAGGGAAACUUACGCUAAUACCGCAUACGACCGAGAGGUGAAAGCGGCGGACCGCAAGGCGUCGCGCGGCUGGAUGAGCCUAUGUCCGAUUAGCUAGGUUGGCGGGUAAGAGCCCACAAGGCGACGAUCGGUAGCUGGUCUGAGAGGAUGAUCAGCCACACUGGGACUGAGACACGGCCCAGACUCCGUACGGGAGGCAGCA